GAGCAGAUAUCUCCAAAGAUCCUUACUUUGAUUUGAUUCUUUCCUGUGUGUUUCUCGGACCUAUGCAGAUGUAUAAAGUAGGCUUCAUCACAGAGAAGACAACAAUGGCGAUUGUCCGAUCAUCAAAGCUUAGUCUUCCUAACCCAUCUCUCUCUCUCUCUCUCUCUCUCUCUCCUUCUUAUCCUCAAGUUUCAUCUAUACUCUAUUAACCUAUCUCCUCAUCACUUGCUGAUUGCUCUAACUCUACUUGAUUCCUCCAUCUCUCUCAUACCUACAAACCCUAAUCACUUCUUCUUGCUCCUCGACUUCGUUUCUCUCAGAACCCUAAUAACUCCAACGACGAGUCUGCUAAUUGAAUUGUCUCCGCGUGUCUUCUUUAUCGUUGCUGGGCCAUAUCGUGGUCUUCUUCUCAGAUUCUAUGGUCUACGGGAAGGGGAAAACAAAGGCUUUGUGAGAGAGAGAGCCAGACUGAUUUGUGAUCGGAAAGUUGGGGUUUUGUUGUAGAAUCUUUCAGUUAAAAUCGUUGGGCUCAACCAAAUACUUUGCAAUGUGAGCUCCAAAAAUACUCAUCUUUGGUAUCAAAGGUGGUGACUGAUGACAGCAUUUCUUGUGGAGAAUGGAGAUGAUGACGCUGUGGUUGUGAAGCUGAUCAGAUGUGGUGUGUGUGUGUGAUUGAAUGUGCUAGACCGGGUCGGUAUAUUGUCGGGUUUGUUGAUUUUAGGGUAAGAUAAUGACAAUGAGAGAGGGAGAUAGAAGAAAGACGGUGGGAGAUUGCGUAAUGGGCAGAUUGAACGGAACAAGAAGAAGUAGAAAGCCUGUUCAUUUGAACAAGGGGUUGCUAAUUAAACAGAGACAACCAUCUUCUGAAACAAGAAUGUGCUAAUUAAACGCUGCUGCUGGUAGCGCUGACCAGGUCUCUUAGGGCGAUAUCUAUUCAAGGAUUGUCCAUUAGAAGAUCCUUGAUCUUGGACUCUGCCGGGUAUAUAAAUGUCUGGCCUGUCUCUGGUCGUCAUCCUCUCGGAUCAAUCUUUGCUUGUCAUAUGCAGCACUUGCCUCGCUUUAUGGAUGUAAUGAUCCCUUGUUCCUGAAAUGUUUGUUAGGUACAAAAAGCUUUUGGAUUUCAGACGGGGAUUAUUUCAUGCUUAGGGUGACAAGUCUGAUGAGGAAGCUAUCAUAAAAGAGAAAGAUAGAGUUAAUAAGAUAAGAGAUGAAAGACCUAUACAAAACCUUGGAUUCUCGGGCUACGAACCUUGUACGCAUAUGCUAUAUCCUGAAGCAGCUAAGACAUGAUUUGGUUUUGUUAAAACCUGUGAGAUCUAUUUUUUUUGGUUGGGUAUAAAAUUGUAGUUACCAUAAAAUUCGAAUGUCAACAUAGUGUCCAUGGGAUUCAAAUCAAACCCAUGAACUUAUAAAUGAAAACAUGGACCAUAACAGGGAUCAGAUGAUGAAUGUGACAUGAUGAUGAUUAUAACAUGCACGUGGUUUAAAUA